rnacentral:rRNA from 14 species
CGACUGAAGCCCCGGUGAACGGCGGCCGUAACAAUAACGGUCCUAAGGUAGCGAAAUUCCUUGUCGGGUAAGUUCCGACCUGCACGAAUGGUGUAACGAUCUGGGCGCUGUCUCAGCGGUGAGCUCGGUGAAAUUGUAGUCUCGGUGAAGAUGCCGAGUACCCGCCACGGGACGGAAAGACCCCGUGCACCUUUACUAUAGGUUGACAUUGACGCUGGACAACACAUGUGUAGCAUAGGUGGGAGACGUUGAGCUAGGGCCGCUAGGUCUUAGGGAGUCACCGUUGAAAUACC